rnacentral:snRNA from 1 species
UGUGCAACCUUCUGAGCU